rnacentral:rRNA from 1 species
UACAGAGGUCUCAAGCGUUGUUCGGAUUCAUUGGGCGUAAAGGGUGCGUAGGCGGCGCGGUAAGUCGGGUGUGAAAUCUCGGGGCUUAACUCCGAAACUGCAUUUGAUACUGCGUGCUUGAGGACUGGAGAGGAGACUGGAAUUCACGGUGUAGCAGUGAAAUGCGUAGAUAUCGUGAGGAAGACCAGUGGCGAAGGCGGGUCUCUGGACAGUUCCUGACACUGAGGCACGAAGGCCGGGGGAGCAAACAGG